CCUACGGGAGGCAGCAGUGGGGAAUAUUGGGCAAUGGGCGCAAGCCUGACCCAGCAACGCCGCGUGAAGGAAGAAGGCUUUCGGGUUGUAAACUUCUUUUGACAGGGAAGAGCAGAAGACGGUCCCUGUCGCAUAAGCCACGGCUAACUACGUGCCAGCAGCCGCGGUAAUACGGAGGUGGCAAGCGUUGUCCGGAUUUACUGGGUGUAAAGGGCGUGUAGCCGGGCUGACAAGUCAGAUGUGAAAUCCGGGGGCUCAACCCCCGAACUGCAGUUGAAACUGUUGGUCUUGAGUGUCGGAGAGGCAGGCGGAAUUCCUGGUGUAGCGGUGAAAUGCGUAGAUAUUAGGAGGAACACCAGUGGCGAAGGCGACCUGCUGGACGACAACUGACGGUGAGGCGCGAAAGCGUGGGGAGCAAACAGGAUUAGAUACCCUUGUAGUC
rnacentral:rRNA from 1 species